rnacentral:rRNA from 1 species
AUUGAACGCUGGCGGCAUGCCUUACACAUGCAAGUCGAACGGUAACAGGUCUUCGGAUGCUGACGAGUGGCGAACGGGUGAGUAAUACAUCGGAACGUGCCUAGUAGUGGGGGAUAACUACUCGAAAGAGUGGCUAAUACCGCAUGAGAUCUACGGAUGAAAGCAGGGGAUCGCAAGACCUUGUGCUACUAGAGCGGCCGAUGGCAGAUUAGGUAGUUGGUGGGAUAAAAGCUUACCAAGCCGACGAUCUGUAGCUGGUCUGAGAGGACGAUCAGCCACACUGGGACUGAGACACGGCCCAGACUCCUACGGGAGGCAGCAGUGGGGAAUUUUGGACAAUGGGCGCAAGCCUGAUCCAGCAAUGCCGCGUGCAGGAUGAAGGCCUUCGGGUUGUAAACUGCUUUUGUACGGAACGAAAAGCCCUGGGUUAAUACCCUGGGGUCAUGACGGUACCGUAAGAAUAAGCACCGGCUAACUACGUGCCAGCAGCCGCAGUAA